rnacentral:lncRNA from 1 species
GACGGAGUCUCGCUCUGUUGCCCAGGCUGGGGUGCAGUGGUGCCAUCUCGGCUCACUGCAAGCUCCGCCUCCCGGGUUCGUGCCAUUCUCCUGCCUCAGCUUCCGGAGUAGCCGGGACUACAGGCGCCCGCCACCACGCCUGGCUAAUUUUUUGUAUUUUUUGGUAGAGACGGGGUUUCACCGUGUUAGCCAGGAUGGUCUCGAUCUCCUGACCUCGGAUCCGCCUGCCUCGGCCUCCCAAAGUGCUGGGAUUACAGGCGUAAGCCACGGCGCCAGACCCAAAAAACCGAGUUAUUUUGGAGCAGGUCACUGUGUGCUGGAACCAGAUCCUUUCACAGAGGCCCUGUUCUUCCUUCCCUGUCCCAUGUUUUAUUUUUCCGUAGGUGACGACUAAGAGCUGCCCAGGGCCUUGCAGCUAGUACAUGGUGGAGCUGGGACUUGAACUGAGGUCUGUCUCCAGGGCCCAUACUCAAAUGCAGUUCUCAUAACAGAGAGUGAGGCCCCCAGGGCUGACCAUGUUAGCACCAUCCUCUUCCUUGUUAGCCCAGGUUUCACAGUAGAUGGGACUAUUGUAAACACCAGCUCCUGCAGCAGGUGCUGAUUUUCUUAGGACUUGGCCCUGCUGCUGUGACAUUAUCUCUCCUGUAGCAGCCUUUGGGGGAGGAAUCGAGGUGCGUGAGGAGGGCUCUCACAGCAAACUCAGCUCCUCAAGACGAUUCACUUAUGAAGGGAUAGAAUCAAGGCUUAAAACCCAGUGUCACUAACAAGCAGAUAUUUCCCUAUGGCUGUGUUCCUCCACCCCCACAAGUAACAGUUUGAAGAGUGACGGGGGUCUGCUUCUAUGCCCUUUUUAAUGUUUGGUUUUGAAAUGGACGUAGAAAAGUAGAUGGUGAUAGCAUUCACUGCAGCCUAUCUGCUGUACCCACUGAUGAACAGAUGAGAUUUUAGCCAUUCACCUUUAUUUCAGAGUGUUCCUUGGUUACAGGGAGGGGUGUGCAAGACCCUGGGCUCUGGGGGAGGGGCUGAGCUGCCCAGUCAGAGCCGGCCUCAGCCCCCUCAGCCAUCCAGGGAUUCGAAAGGGUGCUUGGUCUCAAACUAGGUGCUGACUCUGAGGGCUUUCACGGUCCCUUGAACUUCUGAUCCUCCUUUUCCUCAAAAUCAGUGCUAGGACUCAUAAGUUAUGGAGUCCAAGAUUAACAAUGCUAAAUCCUCAAGCUGACUGAAGAAUGCCGAGUUUGACUGUGAAAUAGAAAUGUUAAAAUACAGAAACAACCCUUCUAUUGUGACUACCUGUUAAGGUCCUGCAAUUAAUACAACGAAAGUACCAUUUUUGUUGAAAAGUAGGUGGUUAGGGGCUUCCAAAAGCCCCUGGUAGCUGUGCCCACAAAGGAAAACGAGUGUAGACACGAAGGGGAAGAAGGCUGUGCUCAACUUGUUAGAAUAUAGGGCUGUUUCUCCCGAGAUUGAGGUAGCACUACAACGCAGAGGACCAGGCAGGCCAGAGUGGCCCCACCUGCCCUUGCCCCCUCUAGGCUAAGUGAAACAGCUAGAGAGAGGGCGGCAAGCGCAGGGACUUGACCUCCAGCUCUGUCUAGUCAAAACACUUUAAGAUGCGCUCUCCAAUCCCAAUAAAAUAGACCCCUUGAGCAAUCCCAAAGAGAGGUGCUAUGACCAGUGCCCGGCAGCCAGCGCCUUUCAUGAAGGCAGAUGGUCCCUCCUGAAUCCAGAGUUUCCUGGGGAGAAAGAAGAGCCAGUGAGCUGAUGGGCAGGGGCAUUCUGCAAGCAGCCCUCAGUGGCAGCCUCUCCAUUUGUGCACCUCUCAUUUUAGAAUAGUGCCUUCCACAACAAGAGCAAGAGGCCAACGGUGUGGGAGCUGUGCCUCGCCCGCUAGGUGCAUGCAGGUUGGUUACUUAUGCAGUUGGGUCAAGGCCUUGGAAACAGGCUUGAUGUGGCUAGAAUCUUUGGUGAGAGAUGCUGUAGGGAUGCCAG